rnacentral:sRNA from 1 species
CCAAGACGUCCUUCCCUCUGCCUCCCACCCAGGCCACUCUUCACCUCCACCAUGAGCCUGGACAUCCAGAGCCUGGACAUCCAGUGUGAGGAGCUGAGCGACGCUAGAUGGGCCGAGCUCCUCCCUCUGCUCCAGCAGUGCCAAGUGGUCAGGCUGGACGACUGUGGCCUCACGGAAGCACGGUGCAAGGACAUCAGCUCUGCACUUCGAGUCAACCCUGCACUGGCAGAGCUCAACCUGCGCAGCAACGAGCUGGGCGAUGUCGGCGUGCAUUGCGUGCUCCAGGGCCUGCAGAGCCCCUCCUGCAAGAUCCAGAAGCUGAGGAGCUGCACCUCAGCGACAACCUCUUGGGGGAUGCGGGCCUGCAGCUGCUCUGCGAAGGACUCCUGGACCCCCAGUGCCGCCUGGAAAAGCUGCAGUGAGUUUGUGUCCUGCCCCAGGGCCCAUGCUGGCCGCUGCUUGUCCCCCAGCCAGCCCCCUACAUAGAACAUCGCCUGCCAGGAGCCGUGAGGAGGGGACUCAGGUCACAGGGGCCUUGUGGUGCUCUCCUUUCCCCAUGAUGCUGGGUCU